rnacentral:rRNA from 1 species
GACGUAGGGGACGAGCGUUGUCCGGAUUUACUGGGCGUAAAGGGCGUGCAGGCGGUUUGUUAAGUGCAGGGUGAAAGCUCCCGGCUCAACUGGGAGAGGUCCUUGCAUACUGGCGAACUCGAGGGAGGCAGAGGAAAGUGGAAUUCCCGGUGUAGUGGUGAUAUGCGUAGAUAUCGGGAGGAACACCUGUGGCGAAGGCGGCUUUCUGGGCCUUACCUGACGCUGAGACGCGAAAGCGUGGGGAGCGAACGGG